UGUUCGCCCAUUAAAGCGGUACGCGAGCUGGGUUCAGAACGUCGUGAGACAGUUCGGUCCCUAUCCGUCGUGGGCGUAGGAAAUUUGAGAGGAGCUGUCCUUAGUACGAGAGGACCGGGAUGGACAUACCUCUGGUGUACCAGUUGUCGUGCCAACGGCAUAGCUGGGUAGCUAUGUGUGGACGGGAUAAGUGCUGAAAGCAUCUAAGCAUGAAGCCCCCCUCAAGAUGAGAUUUCCCAACUUCGGUUAUAAGAUCCCUCAAAGAUGAUGAGGUUAAUAGGUUCGAGGUGGAAGCAUGGUGACAUGUGGAGCUGACGAAUACUAAUCGAUCGAAGACUUAAUCAA
rnacentral:rRNA from 2 species